rnacentral:rRNA from 1 species
AUUGAACGCUGGCGGCAUGCUUUACACAUGCAAGUCGAACGGUAACAGGCCGCAAGGUGCUGACGAGUGGCGAACGGGUGAGUAAUGCAUCGGAACGUGCCCAGUCGUGGGGGAUAACUACUCGAAAGAGUAGCUAAUACCGCAUACGAUCUAUGGAUGAAAGCGGGGGACCGUAAGGCCUCGCGCGAUUGGACCGGCCGAUGUCAGAUUAGGUAGUUGUUGGGGUAAAGGCUCACCAAGCCAACGAUCUGUAGCUGGUCUGAGAGGACGACCAGCCACACUGGGACUGAGACACGGCCCAGACUCCUACGGGAGGCAGCAGUGGGGAAUGUUGGACAAUGGGCGCAAGCCUGAUCCAGCAAUGCCGCGUGCAGGAAGAAGGCCUUCGGGUUGUAAACUGCUUUUGUACGGAACGAAACGGCUCUGGUUAAUACCCGGGGCUAAUGACGGUACCGUAAGAAUAAGCACCGGCUAACUACGUG